rnacentral:rRNA from 1 species
CGACCGGCGCACGGGUGAGUAACACGUAUCCAACCUGCCGUCUACUCUUGGACAGCCUUCUGAAAGGGAGAUUAAUACAAGAUGUUAUCAUGAGUAAGCAUUUUCACAUGAUUAAAGGUUUACCGGUGUAAGAUGGGGAUGCGUUCCAUUAGAUAGUAGGCGGGGUAACGGCCCACCUAGUCUUCGAUGGAUAGGGGUUCUGAGAGGAAGGUCCCCCACAUUGGAACUGAGACACGGUCCAA